AUUAGAUACCCUGGUAGUCCACGCAGUAAACGAUGAAUACUAAUUGUCCGGGACGAUUGGCUCCUGGGUGAUACAGCGAAAGCGUUAAGUAUUCCAUGUGGGGAGCACGCCGGCGACGGAGAAACUCAGAGGAAUUGACGGACGCCCGCACAAGCGGAAGAACGUGUGUUUUAUUUCGAUGAUACGCGAGGAACCUUACCCGGUUCUCAAACGAUACAAGAGUACUUUUGACAGGAGUCUGCUCUCCGGAGCCUGUGUCGAGGUGCUGCAUGGGUGUCGGCCGCUCGUGGCGGGAGGAGGCGGCUUAAGUGCCAUAACGAGCGCCACCCCUAGCGUCUGGUACCAACAAGUAAAGUUGGCGACUUUGAGGAGACUGCCGGCACAAGCUGUGAGGAAGGCGGGGAUGACGUCAAAUCAUCACGCCCCUUACGUCCGGGGCGACACACGUGUUACAAUGGCAGGUACAGAGAGAAGCGAAGCGGCGACGCCGAGCGAAACUUGAAAGCCUGUCUCAGGUCGGAACGGAGUCUGCAACCUGACUCCGUGAAGCUGGAUUCUCUAAUAGUCGCGCAACAACAAUGCUGCGGUGAAUGCGUUCCCGGGUCUUGUACACACCGCCCGUCACGCCAUGGAAGCCGGGAGCGCCUGAA
rnacentral:rRNA from 1 species